rnacentral:tRNA from 3 species
GCGGGUAUGGCGGAAUUGGCAGACGCGCAAGACUAAGGAUCUUGUGGAGAGAUAAUCUCCGUGGAAGUUCGAGUCUUCUUGCCCGCA